GCAUUGAUGGUUCAGUGGUAGAAUGCUCGCCUGCCAUGUGGGUGGUUUGGGUUUGAUUCCAGUCGAUGCA
rfam:Octopus bimaculoides Scaffold36418_contig_22, whole genome shotgun sequence.